rnacentral:rRNA from 1 species
GACGAACGCUGGCGGCGUGCUUAACACAUGCAAGUCGAGCGGUAAGGCCCUUUCGGGGGUACGACGAGCGGCGAACGGGUGAGUAACACGUGGGUGACCUCGCCCUCCAGCUCUGGGAGUAAGCCUGGGAAACGUGGGUCUAAUACUGGAUAUGACUCCACGGUGCAUGUCGUGGGGUGGAAAGCCUUGUGCGGCUGAGGA